CACCCACAGCAUAUGGAGGUUCCCAGGCUACGUGUUGACUCAGAGCUGUGGCAGCCGGCCUGUGCCACGGCCACAGCAACAUGAGAUCCAAGCUUCAUCUGUGACCUGCACUACAGCUCAUGGCAAUGCCGGAUCCUUAACCCACUGAGCGAGGCCAGGGAUCGAACCUGCAACCUCAUGGUUUGUAGUUAGAUUCCUUUCCAUUGAGCCAUGAUGGGAACUCCAAAAAAAUAAAUCUUAACACUUGUUUUUAAUAACAAAUGGGGAAAUACUGGCAGAAAACCAAAAAGCAGAAAAUGGAAUUCUACCCACUAGUAGAAAAGCUGGUAAAAACCCUGAGUGUUUAAUAAAUAUCUUCAAAACCUGUCUCUGUGCCCACAGUAGAGAACCCUACUAUUAACCCUAUUAACAUUUUUUAAUAGCUGAAAAAAGAUGACCAUGGUCCAAUGCCUGCAUAUCAUAGCAGCCUGAAAUCGUUUCAGCCCAAAUAUCUUGAAGAGAUAUAUGGUCCACAGACAUACAUUUAAAAAUCCCCUUUUUCUUCUCCCAGCCAUUGCCCCACACUCAACAGCUCACCCCUUAUUCUCAAAACCCUUCAUAAAAUACCCUCCUAGCCCUAGCCAAUCAAUGGACCUUCUCCUCAACUCUCAUCACAGAAGCCCAAAGGAGUUCAUUUGGCAAGGCAGGUCCUUCCAUAGAGAAAGAGGGAGAGAAAGAAACUUCCUGGGCAGAGUUAGAAUUGUCCUUUGUGGGUGAAGAGAGGGGAAAGCUGAGAUCAUAUACACAGGUAAUAAUUUUCUUGUUUUAUAUGUGCAUUUUUUAAAAAAAAUGAAUGUUCCUCUACAUCAGUCAGUAUGAGUCUAUGUUAUAAUUCUGAAUGGAUUCAUUGUAUUCCAUUGUACAGAUAAACUAUUUUAUUUAACCAAACCACUAAUUUAUUUCCAACAUUCACAUAAGGUCUGUGAUAAAUUUCAUUUUUAUUUAUUUAUUUAAUAAUGAUUUUUAUUUUUCCCAUUAUAGCUGGUUUACAGUGUUCUGUCAAUUUUCUACUGUACACCAAGGGGACCCAGUCAUACAUACUUGUAUACAUUCUUUUUUCUCACAUUAUCAUGCUCCAUCAUAAGUGACUAGAUACAGCUCCCAGGGCUAUACAGAAGGUUCAUUGUUAUUUAAAUCUUUGCACAGAUGCUCAAUUAUUGACUUAGGAUAAAUAUCCAAAAGUAGGGAUUAAGAUGCAUUAGUUAGGAUAUUUUUGGUCACAUGUGUGACAUGCAGUGGCUUAAAUAACAAGAGUGUGUUUAUAUCUAGGCUGACGUCAGAGCUGGGGUGGUGAUUCUGUACCAUGAUGUCAAAGAUCCAGGUUCUUUCCAUCUUGUGGCUCUGCCUUCCAUAGAUACUGCUCUUGCCCAUGGCACCUAAAAGCAUGUCCAUAUUCCAGGUAGUAAGACAAGGAAAAGGGGGACAAGAGACUACACAACUACCUUUUUAGGGCUCAACCCUGGGGUUAGACGCAUCACUUAUGCUCUCAUCCCAUUGGCCAGAACUUAUUCGUGCACCCAUUCCUAGCUGCAGCAGAAGCUGGGAAUAUAAUCUCUAUCCUGAGUAGUCCGGCUAAAUAUGUUAUUACCAUCAAAGAAGGGGUUAAUAAGCAUAUGUAUUUUAAAGGUCUUAUAUAUAUGCUACCUUACUGGUCUGCCAAAAGAUGGCAGCAAUUUAUAUUUCCAUCACUUGUGCCAACACAGGACAUUUCAAAUAUCUUGUCAAAUUAAUAGCUAAAAGAAAUGAUCAUUGUGCUAUUUAAAGUGUUGCAUUUUCUUCAUUUCUGGUGAUGUUUGUAUCUUUUUUUUUUCUUUCUGUUGAAAUAUGUCUCCGAAGAGGCUUCUGAUCUUCUAAAUGCAGAGUUAGAUGGGAAAUCCAGGUUUCAAGAUUAUAGACUCUCAUUAGAGUAGCCGGCUUGCCCAGCAUUUUCCAAGGAUACUUUGUCACAGAAAAUUUUAGUUCUGGUUCUCAAGAGUGGUCCCAGGUAUGAACCUACUGCUGCCAAGUAGGCACCCUUGGGUUUUACUUUUCUAAGAAUUCCGUGGCAUGGUAAGGCAGCCCCUUUGAGGCUAAGAGAAAUUACUCAUAACUUGAAAAGACAGUUUCUUCUGGGAAUUCCAACUAAACUAAGUUCAGGGUUAUCUUUGUUCAUGCAGUGUUGCUGGUCACCCAGGACCACCCAUCCUAACUCAGAUUUGAUUGCCUGAUCCAGGACCACAAAAACUCCUGCCAGGUCUGAGAGAUGUCUACUGUAUCUGUCAGGAAAUGCUAGUUCAUGCUGAGGUAACAAACACUCCCAAAUUUCAGUGGCUUAAAACAACAAAGUUUUUUCAUGCUUUAAGCCAUAUAUCUAUGUUGGGUCAGUGUAGGGAGCUCUAUUGCAAGUCCCUCUUGUCAUGAGACCAAGGCUAAUAGAGCCUCACCAUCUGGAACAUGGCCAUCCACUAUCAUCAUAAAUCAUGCACUUGCUCAUAAAAGCUUUUCCUCAGAAGUGAUACAUGUUACUUCUAUUCACAUCAUAUUGGCCAAAGCAAGUCCUAUGGCUAUACUUAAUUUUAAGGGGGAGGGAAGUGCAAUUCUACCAUGUGACUUGAAGGAGGAGAAUCAGAAAUAUUGGAGAAUAGCAGCACUAAUGAUUGCCAGACUCCUAUUCCCAUGGACGUGGAAGUUGGGAAGUGGGCUUCAGGUUUUAGAAGUCUCUGAGUAUCUUGGUUCAUUUUCUAAGGCAUCUAGGCAUCUUUUCCAUGGUCUUUAUAAACCUGCAGACUCCUUAAAGAUAAACUCUUGUCUCAUUUGCUUUGGAUCCAUAGCAUCUGGCACAUCUCUUGGCACAUGGCAAUUACCAAGCCAAUAUUAAUUGAAUGGAGAGUGAGAGAGGGAAUAGCUAUCAUUUAAAAAGAACUGAAGGCUGAAGAGAAUAAAACAGAAUGCUAGAAAGGACGGUUUAGGAAAUUUUGCCUUCUCCCCUGGAGGCCCAGCUACAGCAGCAGAGAAAUAUAUUCCAGGCAGAAAAACACGAUGAAAUCUCAGAAUAACUAAAUGAAGUGGAGAGAGGCAAUCCACCUGACAAAGAAUUCAGAUACUGAUAGUAAAAAUGAUCCAAGAUUUCUGAAAGGCUAGAGGCACAAACCAAGAAGAUACAAGAAAUGUUCAACAAAGAUAUAGAUGAUUUAAAGAACAAAGAUGAACAAUACAAUAAUCGAAAUGAAAAAUACACUAGAAAAAAAAAUCAAUAGUGGAAAGAGUGUGGUGAAAUGGUGGGUGGCUAACUAAGUGGGAAGGAUACUGACCCAUUAUUCUCACCAAGUACAACCUUGACACACACACGCAUAUUCCCAGUGUGUCUGAAUGCACGUGUAGCUGACUGUAAAUGACCUGUUCAUUCUUUUAAAGAGCUUGGUAAUAAUUACCACCGCCUCAAACAAAGCAAGCAUAAAAUGCCUAAAAAGUUUCCGUGACUUAAUCUUUCAUAGGCAAGAGCACAAAAUUUAUUUAUUUAUUUUAGAGCUGCCCCCGCGGCAUGGAGAUUCCCAGUCAGAGCUGUAGUUGCCGGCCUAUGCCACAGCCACAGCAGUGCCGGAUCUGAGCCGUGUCUGUGACCUACACCACAGCUCACAGCAACGCCAAAUCCUUAACCCACUGAGCAAGAUCAGGGAUCGAACAUGCGUCCUCAUGGAUGCUAGUCAGAUUUGUUAACCACUGAGCCACAAUGAGAACUCUGAAAUUUAUUCUUUAUGCUUUAUCUUAUUAAUCUUUUAAACUAAACAAAUAAUACAUGUUGUGUCAGUAAAGACAAUUUUGUGGCAAACCCCCAAAUCAAUUUAGACUAACAUAAACCAAAGAUAAAACAAGUAGAAGAAACUAGAUAACCCUAAAAUCAAAGUAACUCCUAAAUCCUCAGGAAAAAAAUCCAGGAAGUUCCAAGUGUUUUUUUUUUGUGUGCGGGGGCGGGGGAGGGGUGUCUUUUCAGGGCCUCAUUUGUGGCAUAAGGAUGUUCUCAGGCUAGGGGUCAAAUCGGAGCUGUAGCUGCUAGCCUACGCCACAGCCACAGAUACACCCAUCUGAGCCGUGUCUAUGACCUACACCAUAGCUCACAGGAAUGCUGGAUCCUUAACCCACUGAAGAAGGCUAGGGAUCGAACCCAUAUCCUCAGGGAUACUAGCUGGGUUCAUUAACUGCUGAGCCAUGACGGGAAUUCCCAAGAAAGUGUCUGAUUGGCUAACUUCAGAUGGCAUAUAUCUGCUUUUCUACUGGGUGGGGUGGAAGGUGGGAAAUGGAAUCCUAUGGACAGAAGGCAGGACAGUUACUCACUGGAAUGGACACCAAUUAGGACAAAAAUAAUAGAUCUUUAUGACGUGUAUAUUUUUAAAAUAUAAAAUAAAUGUACAGAAAUAAAAUGUAAAUCAUGUAUAUUUAUAUUUUGGUAUAUAUAGCCUUCCAGACAUUUCUCUAAUCAUAUAUAAUUUUUCCUGCAAAAAUUGAAUCAUAGUGAAUAUCCGCAUUAUAAUUUGCCAUUUCUCACUUAAAAUACCUUGUGAAGACUCAAUAUAGACAGCAACAAAGUCAAAAUAUAACUUUUAAUUCACAGUAAGGAGACUCAAAUAAGCUAUCAAAAAUAGUGAUCAAUUAAUUAGACUAACAAUACUAGAGUAAAAAUUUAGUCAUGAUUUCCAGGUCUAUAGUCUAUACCCAUGAACAACUACUACCAGUAUAUCUGAAUUUCCAUCUCUCUCUCUGAUAUAUGUCUACCUACGUGUAUACCUACCCAUCAUCUAGCCAGCUACCAUGACUUUACCACGUCAUGAUGGACUAAGUCAUACUCUGGUAACAAACAAUCCUGAAAUCUCAGUGGCUUAAUAAAUUCAUUUCUUCAUCCUACCACACGUUCAAUUCAAGUUAGGGAGACUGCUCAUCUAAGUACCUGAAAACCAGGAUAAUACAAUCUCCGUUCAACCCAACAGGGGCAGAGAAUAUGGCAAGCACACCCUGGUUCUCAAAGCUUCACCCAGAGAAUGAUCCUUCCUUCUACUUCCUCUCAUAAUUCAUUCUCCAAAGCCAAUCUCAUGGCCAAGUUAACUCCAAAGCAACAGUCCUACCAUGUUCCCAGAAGAACCAAAAUAUUUGUGAGUGGCAAGGAUGACACUUUGUUUCUUUGAGUUCGUAAACAAUUUAGUAGUAAAAAUUGGGUUGGAACAGAGAAUAAAGUCUUUCCUGAUUUGCAAAUCCUUUAAGAGGAUCAAAUGAUUUAACCAUAUUAGUCAGAGUUUGCAUCAUAAACCAUUUCCAUUUCUAUCUCAAACUAUAUUUUAUCCUUCCCCCUAAUCCUCUGUUCAUAUUAUAUCAUAAAGUAAGGAUGUGGACAGCUGGCACUGAUAACUUGCCCGGAAGAUGUGAUAUGCUAAAAGCCUAGCGUUAUUCAUUUCAGGUGAUCUAAAACAAAUUAUGUAUAGCUUUGAUUAUUUUAACUGGUUAAAAAUUAUCCUGAGGAACUGAAUAUUAAUAUUAGAGCACUAUCAUCCAUGAUUCAUACCAGAAAACUAUUAUGAAACAACCACCAAUAAUAAGAUGUGGCUCUGGAACCCGUUUAUUUCAAGGGCUGCCAACCUAUUACAUGAACUGAUUCAGUGUUUGAGGUCUUUUUUAAAAAGUGAUAUAUUAUCUAUUUUAUGGGAAGACUACAACUUCAGUCAUUGUAUGGGGCAACCAAGAUAUUUCAACGUGUUACAUUCAUUGAUGGGUCUCAAGGGACCAUGGCCCUUGACACUCUCCCUAGGGAAAGGUUGGGUCUAUUUCCCCUCUCAUUGAAUCUCAGCAGGUUUGUGAAAACUUCAACCAAGAGAGCAAGCAGAACUGAUACUGUAUGAUCUCUGACAUUUGAUGGCUGGAGCACUAACCCUUGGAUUUCAGAGUGCCAUAUAAAAAACCUGACUACCCCACAGCUGCCCUGCUGUGAGGAAGCCAACCCACAUGGAGGCCAAGGAAGGAACUCCUAGUCUGUGCAUCACCCCUUUCCAGGCACCAAACAUGUAGGCAAUCCAACCUUCUGAAGAGCCCAGCCCCCAGCCCCUGAGUCCCCCCCAGCCUUCAACUCUUACCAGCUGAAGCCCCACGUGUUGUGGAAAAGACAAGCCAUCUCCACUGUCCGCAUUUCUAAUGCAUAGAAUCUGUGACCUUAAUAAAAUGGUGUUUUAAGCCAAGUUUCUAGGUAACGUUUUAGGCAGCAAUAAUCACGGGAACAAACAUUUUCAGGGUUCUUGAUAUAUCCUGUCAGUUUGUUUUCCAAGCAGCCUACAGCAAUUUGGCCUCCCACUUAAGAGUACAUGAGAGCUCCCAUUGCACUGUGCUUGAUCCACACUGACAAGGUUCAGAAUUCAUCUCUUGUUUUAUCUUUAAAUUUUACUGUGGAAAAUGAACAUUGACAAAAACAAGACAAUAAUAUAUGAACAACCAUGUACCCAUCACCUGGCUUCAAUAAUCUCCACUCUUAUUUCAUCUCUCCCCUCUCCUUACUCCCAUCUCUCCCUCUACAUCACUCUCCUUAAAUGAAAGUAUAUUUGCUCCUGUUGAUCAUUGAAUACCAGAACUUACCAGAAAUAGCUAGAUAAAACAAUCAAAAAACCAAAGUAAGACGAUUGCCCAAGACGUAUUAAAUCACUACAAUGAGCUAGGACUCGUUUAAAGAUAGCGCCCAUAAUCACUCAUUUAAGCUCUUAGGAAUUCUUAAGAGGUAGGUAAAAUCAAUUAUGAUCAUCGUAUUUUACAGAUAAGGAAACAGAGGCACAGGAAACUAAGUAACUUGUUCAAGUUUGCAGAGUUUAUAAGUGGUAGAGACAGAAAUGUAACCUAAGCACUCCGGCUCCAAAGCCCACACUGAUAAUCACCCUACAACACCACUGCUCUUGAGGGAACCUAAUUUCUGUGGCUGGUUUUAGCAAAUUAGUUUGAAUGGCACACUGAACGAACUCUCUAAUCCACCAUUAUCCCAACUACUGGGGAGAUAUUUGAAGGUUGAAGAUAUUAUGUGGUGUCAUUUGACCAGAUGGCUCAAGUAGAAGGAUUGCUGGUUUAUGUGGAGACUUGUAAAAAAAAAAAAAAAAAAAAAAAAAA
rnacentral:lncRNA from 1 species